rnacentral:rRNA from 1 species
GAUGAACGCUAGCGGGAGGCUUAACACAUGCAAGUCGAGGGGCAGCAUAGGGUAGCAAUACUCUGAUGGCGACCGGCAAACGGGUGAGUAACGCGUAUGCAACCUACCCUGUACAGGGGGAUAACCCGGAGAAAUUCGGACUAAUAUCCCGUAAUAAUAUCCGGAGGCAUCUUUGGAUAUUAAAGUUCCGACGGUACGGGAUGGGCAUGCGUAACAUUAACUGGUUGGUAAGGUAACGGCUUACCAAGGCUAUGAUGUUUAGGGGUCCUGAGAGGGUGGUCCCCCACACUGGUACUGAGACACGGACCAGACUCCUACGGGAGGCAGCAGUGAGGAAUAUUGGUCAAUGGGCGCAAGCCUGAACCAGCCAUCCCGCGUGCAGGAAGACGGCCCUAUGGGUUGUAAACUGCUUUUCCAGGGAGAGAAACUUACGCACGUGUUGCGUGACUGACGGUACCCUGGGAAUAAGCAUCGGCUAACUCCGUGA